rnacentral:misc_RNA from 1 species
AAGUCGUAACAAGGUUUCCGUAGGUGAACCUGCGGAAGGAUCAUUACAACAAUAAUUCAACAUUGUGUCAGAGCAAUAACAUCUAAAACCGAUCAUCAAUUAAUUAAUUCAAAACUUUCAACAACGGAUCUCUAGGUUCUC